rnacentral:rRNA from 1 species
AGUCGAGGGGCAGCGAGAGUGAUACAAUAUUACUUGUCGGCGACCGGCGCACGGGUGCGUAACGCGUAUGCAACCUACCAUCAACAGGGGGAUAACACUGAGAAAUUGGUACUAAUACCCCAUAAUAUCUCAUGCGGCAUCGCAUGGGGUUGAAAACUCCGGUGGUUGAUGAUGGGCAUGCGUUGUAUUAGCUGGUUGGUGAGGUAACGGCUCACCAAGGCGACGAUACAUAGGGGGACUGAGAGGUUAACCCCCCACAUUGGUACUGAGACACGGACCAAACUCCUACGGGAGGCAGCAGUGAGGAAUAUUGGUCAAUGGACGCAAGUCUGAACCAGCCAUGCCGCGUGCAGGAUGACGGCUCUAUGAGUUGUAAACUGCUUUUGUCGAGGGUAAACCCCGAUACGUGUAUCGGGUUGAAAGUAUCGUACGAAUAAGGAUCGGCUAACUCCGUGCCAGCAGCCGCGGUAAUACGGAGGAUCCGAGCGUUAUCCGGAUUUAUUGGGUUUAAAGGGUGCGUAGGCGGUUUGAUAAGUUAGAGGUGAAAUGUCGGGGCUCAACCCCGAAACUGCCUCUAAUACUGUUGGACUAGAGAAUAGUUGCGGUAGGCGGAAUGUAUGGUGUAGCGGUGAAAUGCUUAGAGAUCAUACAGAACACCGAUUGCGAAGGCAGCUUACCAAACUAUAUCUGACGUUGAGGCACGAAAGCGUGGGUAGCAAACAGGAUUAGAUACCCUGGUAGUCCACGCAGUAAACGAUGAAUACUAACUGUCCG